rnacentral:rRNA from 1 species
GACGAACGCUGGCGGCGUGCUUAACACAUGCAAGUCGAACGGAAAGGCCUCUUUCGGGGGGUACUCGAGUGGCGAACGGGUGAGUAACACGUGAGUAACCUGCCCUUGACUUUGGGAUAACUUCAGGAAACUGGGGCUAAUACCGGAUAGGAGCUCCUGCUGCAUGGUGGGGGUUGGAAAGUUUCGGCGGUUGGGGAUGGACUCGCGGCUUAUCAGCUUGUUGGUGGGGUAGUGGCUUACCAAGGCUUUGACGGGUAGCCGGCCUGAGAGGGUGACCGGCCACAUUGGGACUGAGAGACGGCCCAGACUCCUACGGGAGGCAGCAGUGGGGAAUAUUGCACAAUGGGUGGAAGCCUGAUGCAGCAACGCCGGGUGCGGGAUGACGGCCUUCGGGUUGUAAACCGCUUUCGCUCAUGACGAAGCUUUGUGUGACGGUAGUGGGUAAAGAAGCACCGGCUAACUACGUG